AUUUAGAGUUUUUACUCAGUUCAAGUUUAAAAGUUAAAAUUUAAUAUUUGUUUUCACUGCAUGUUACUUCUCCUUAAACAAAGUGUUGUUUUUGAUUAAUAGAUUUUUGCACUUUAUUUUUUUGUAUUUCAAUCCAAUUAUAUUUUAAAAAUAUUUCAGUUGAGUGGAUGAUAGAAAAUUGCUAUUAUUGUUUUUUCUUUGAAGUAAAUUUAGCCCACUUUUGCUAAAAUAGAAAAUAUAGUCUACUGAUGGUGCCUUGAAUACCGGUUUCUUUCAUUUAAUGUUCAUGUUAUGGGGAUAUUUAUAUAAAGGAAAUUUGUCUUUUGUGUCUGUUGAAAAUUAAAGAUUACUGACAGAGCCAUAAGAAAAUAUUGCUUUAUUUAUCUGAUCAUAUUGUAAUAUAUUUGUUAGGUUUUCAGUAGGUUCAAUUAGGUUCACUAGACUAUAUGCGUCAUUUAAAAAUUUUUCAAUGAACAUUCGAACAGUCCGGCCCUCGUCUUGUAGCUGAUUUUUUUAUUUGGCCCUCCGUCCAUUUGACUUUGACACCCCUGAUCUAGUUCAAUGAAUGUGAUAUUCUGCCCAGUCAUGGGUGAGGUCAUCCUGUGGUAGCGUCUAGUUCUCAGAGGGCUGGUCAGAUCCAUGGCACAGUGCCAUGGCCAUGCCCUCACACCAGCCCUGGGAAGGCUCCCUAAGGCCUGGUACACAGUGAUACAGUGACAAGCCCUGUCCUUGUGGUAACUGAGAAUCAGAGACAACUCCUCACCCGAGAAAGGGAGAGGGAGUGACAGAAAGAGAGUUGGGAGGGGGGACAGAGAUAGGGGGGAGAGACAGACAGAGAGAGCGGAGGGUGGGGGGUGGGGGGUCAAGAGUCAGAAAGAGAAUGAAGAGGAGAAAAAGAGAGAAGACAGAAAGAGAGAGGAGGGCAUGCUCCUCUCUCUCACUUCCCUGAGAGGAAUACUGAUCUCCGGACCAACAACAAUGCCUUUGUUCUCAUGGAAACGCUGUGUGGUACAGUAUGUAGUUGCGUUAUUCAUGUGAGUGAUUAUAAUGACGAGAAGAUUACUGUUUGGAAUUACAGAAUGUUGACUGAUUGCUACAUUAAAUGUGGGCAGCAGAAUGUUGCAAUACAAGCCUGUGAGAUGGCUAGUAUGUGUGGUAAAAACGCCGUCAAUCAAGUGCUUCAAGAAUGCAAGUCUGACUUGGUCCUGGAAAAGACCCAUCACAGCCAAAUUCCAACCAGGGAGAUAAAAACAAGACCACUUAAACCAGUGUGGAUGUGGGGAGGGAUGGGAGCUGCACAUCAUUGAAGGGUCAGUCACCAGGUAGUAGAUGGUUGUCCUUUGCGGUCUCUGCUCUGUCCUGUGACACAAGACAGGGUCAACAUCCCGUUAUUUGCAAGAGGAAGAAACGCAGGUACAGGGGACACAGAGCGGGAUGCCUCGUCAGGACCCGCAGAAGGCGAGUGGGAAAGCAGCCAUUGCCGUCAAUAUAUGUCUCAGCUUCCAGUAUUUAUGCUCAAAUCAAAUCAAAUUUUAUUUGUCACAUACACAUGGUUAGCAGAUGUUAAUGCGAGUGUAGCGAAAUGCUUGUGCUUCUAGUUCCGACAAUGCAGUAAUAACAAGUAAUCUAACUAACAAUUCCAAAACUACUGUCUUGUACACAGUGUAAGGGGAUAAAGAAUAUGUACAUAAGGAUAUAUGAAUGAGUGAUGGUACAGAGCAGCAUAGGCAAGAUACAGUAGAUGGUAUCGGGUACAGUAUGUACAAAUGAGAUGAGUAUGUAAACAAAGUGGCAUAGUAUAGUAUAAAGUGGCUAGUGAUACAUGUAUUACAUAAGGAUACCGUCGAUGAUAUAGAGUACAGUAUAUACGUAUGCAUAUGAGAUGAAUAAUGUAGGGUAAGUAACAUUUAUAUAAGGUAGCAUUGUUUAAAGUGGCUAG
rnacentral:lncRNA from 13 species